UUGUGAAGGCACACAUCUGGAUAUAACUACUCUCUCUGUAUUUUCUCUAUCUUCACACUUCCUCUAUAAAUCAUUCCUUUUCCACUUAUUUCUUCAUAUUUCUCAGAAAUUCUAUAAAUGUUUCAAGUUUUGUAAAAAGUAAGUUUAUUUUGUUAUAAGUUUAUUUUUGCUACUUAUAUAAAGACCGUGUUGACGACACUCUUCUCUUCUCCCCCUCACCCUCACUCUGACUUAAUUCUGGGAUUCUGGGAAUCCCAAGUUAAGGUUGCAGGAACCCUAACCUCUGUAAUAAAAUUAAAACAUCAUAAGUAUACUCUGUGAUUACAGCUUAGCUUGAUCUUUCACAUCAGAAAAAUUG
rnacentral:lncRNA from 1 species